UGCCUACGGGAGGCAGCAGUAGGGAACCUUCGGCAAUGGGGGCAACCCUGACCGAGCAACGCCGCGUGAGUGAAGAAGGUUUUCGGAUCGUAAAGCUCUGUUGUAAGAGAAGGACGUGUGUGAGAGUGGAAAGUUCACACAGUGACGGUAACUUACCAGAGAGGGACGGCUAACUACGUGCCAGCAGCCGCGGUAAUACGUAGGUCCCGAGCGUUAUCCGGAUUUAUUGGGCGUAAAGCGAGCGCAGGCGGUUGGGUAAGUCUGAAGGUUAAGGCUGGGGCUUUAACAUAGUUAUCUUUGGGAAA
rnacentral:rRNA from 1 species